UACGUAGGCAGCAAGCGUUGUUCGGAGUUACUGGGCGUAAAGAGCGCGCAGGCGGUCGUUUAAGUCGAAUGUGAAAGCCCCCGGCUCAACUGGGGAGGGUCAUUCGAUACUGAUCGACUUGAAGGCAGGAGAGAGAAGUGGAAUUCCCGGUGUAGUGGUGAAAUGCGUAGAUAUCGGGAGGAACACCAGUGGCGAAGGCGACUCCUUGGCCUGUUCUUGACGCUGAGGCGCGAAAGCUGGGGGAGCAAACGGG
rnacentral:rRNA from 1 species